rnacentral:misc_RNA from 1 species
GAUGAAGAACGCAGCGAAACGCGAUAUGUAAUGUGAAUUGCAGAAUUCAGUGAAUCAUCGAAUCUUUGAACGCACAUGGCGCCUUCCAGUAUCCUGGGAGGCAUGCCUGUCCGAGCGUCGUUUCAACCCUCGAGCCCCCGUGGCCCGGCGUUGGGGAUCUGCCCAAGCAGUCCCCGAAAACCAGUGGCGGACCCGUUACAGGCCCUUCCCUUGCGUAGUAGCAUUCGCCUCGCAUCGGGAGCCGGCGGGCUUCCAGCCUCUAAACCCCCAUCAAGUCCGCCCCGGCGGCACCAAGGUUGACCUCGGAUCAGGUAGGAAUACCCGCUGAACUUAAGCAUAUCAAUAAGCGAGGA